rnacentral:hammerhead_ribozyme from 1 species
AUCCAGCUAAUGAGUUCCAAAUAGGACUAAACGCGCGUCCUGGAU